AAAGAAGAGGAAAGCAGAAAAAAGAGUCAGAACACAAAAGAUUUCAAUACUAAACUAGAGGGAUGAACUUUCCUGACUGCCAGCACACAAAUGAAUUGCCAUUUUCAGGAAAUAUUUGUGAAAGCUCCCUGGACCAGAGUAAUGUUGUGUGCCAGUACUGGGAAACAUUUCAUGCCCUGUGAGUGGCCAAUACCUUCGUCAGGAUGUUGUGGCAUGUGAACGUGUGGAUUUCAGAGGAAAGACAAUGAGAGAGGAACAGAUACUGUGAUUCUUGGGAAACCAACUGCUACAAGCUUGGAUCCUCAGAGCCUACAGGCUCUCCCAGGCAUCCCAUGUUUCAGCAUGUUGAGAAGAUCCAGUUGCGCUUUGCUUGGAUGCCUGGAUGAGAAACUGGGGAAGAUGGAAAGCGAGGUGCUCAUUUGCACAGUCUGUGACGGAGGUGCUGACCCUAUUUCCAGUCAUGACAGGUGUCCAGGGCUCCCCAGGAGGUAUUUUAUUGCCAU